UGAGGAAUAUUGGACAAUGGAUGGAAAUCUGAUCCAGCCAUGCCGCGUGCAGGAAGAAGGUCCUAUGGAUUGUAAACUGCUUUUGUACGGGAGCAAUAAGGGCUAUGCGUAGUUCGAUGAGAGUACCGUACGAAUAAGGAUCGGCUAACUCCGUGCCAGCAGCCGCGGUAAUACGGAGGAUCCGAGCGUUAUCCGGAUUUAUUGGGUUUAAAGGGUGCGUAGGCGGUUCAAUAAGUCAGUGGUGAAAGUUGUCGGCUUAACCGGAAAAUUGCCGUGGAUACUGUUGGGCUUGAAUUUGGUUGCGGUGAGUGGAAUGUGUGGUGUAGCGGUGAAAUGCUUAGAUAUCACACAGAAUACCGAUUGCGAAGGCAUCUCACUAGGCCAAUAUUGACGCUGAUGCACGAAAGUGUGGGGAUCAAACA
rnacentral:rRNA from 1 species